UCUUAGAGGCACCGCUGAGUCAAGAAGAAGCAAGUCCUGACCAAGACCCAAAGGAGACACCCCUCUCAAGGGGUAAAAAGGACAGGAUGAAGGCUUUAAUCCUGACUGGGCUCAUCCUGGUCUUUGCCAUUUGUUUCCCGUUCAGUGAGAGUCAGCAAUCACAGCGCCGGGCAAGAGGGAAGACAAUCAAUAGUCGAUCAGUGCGAAGUUCCCCUGCCAGGACAUCACAAAACAGAUCUCCAUACACCCAAGUCAAUAGGAAACCUCAAAUCCGUUCUCGUGCCUCUGUCUCAUCUGUGCUGCCUAACAAAGCAGCCAGCCAAUUAUCUUUAAAUUCUAGGAUAUCAAGUAGAAAGAAAAAAACUGUCCUGACAGCAAAAAGGCAAAGUCUACAAGUCAGGCCUAAGAAAAGUACAUUAACUUCUGCCAAUAAAAGGCUGACCCCCCUUUCGUCUGGUUUAACAGGACGAAAUAUUCCACGGAGCACAAGUAAAACUCGAAAACAGCCUAAGAAAAAUCAGAAGACAACUGCCAAGAAACAGUUAAAAAGGACUGCAGUAGCACCAAAGCCAUCUUUAGCUAUAAAGAAAAGUCAAAAUGCACCUAAAAGACCCCCGUCCACCUCUGCCAAGAAGCAGCUGAAUUUCCCAAAAGUAGCUAAGGUGGCAUCAAAAGGAACUUCAGCUUCAAAGAAAAGUUCACAGAAAUCAAAGAAAAUCCAGUCUCCACCUGCUAAGAAGAAACAGUUAAAACGACGCAAAACUAAAUCAGCUCCAAAAACAGAUCUAACUAAGAAGAAAUCUCAAAAUAUUUAUAAACUAACCAUGUCUGUAUCCAAAACACAAUCUAAGUCCACGACAAUAAAACGUUCCCUCAAAACUUCCUCAGCUCCAAAGAAAAGACCAACUAAAUCUCGCAAGACUCCAUCAUCAUCUGCCAAGAAAAAACAGAGUAGGCAAAAAGCAGUUAAAGCAGUCCCCAAAAACAAUGUAGCCAGAAAGAAAACUCUAGGGAAACAAAAAAAUAAACAGUUAAUGUCAGUCAAAAAAGGGCCAGCUAAGGCAACAGCAACAAGAGCAGUUUUAAAAGUCAAAAAGAAAAAUCUAACCGCAUCUAAAAAGACAGCAUCUACACCUGCCAAGAAAAAGCUCAAUCAGCCAAGAAAAGUUGCAACAAAAAGGAAAAUAUCUAAAGCCAAAAAUAAAGUGUCAACAAAACCCAAAAACUUUAGUGCACCUGCCAAGAAACAAGUGAAUCAACCUAAAGUACUUAAAUCAGUAUUAAAGACACAACCAACCUCAAAAAAAAUACCAAAGAAAUUGAAAAGCUCCUUGUCCAAAACUGCCAGGAAGGGGUCAAAUCAAUCAAAAGAAAGCAAAUCUCCAGCUCUCAGAAAAACUCCAGCCAAAAAGAAAAAUCUAAAAAAAUCUAAACCAGAUGCUAAAAAACUGUUCAAUGGGUCUAAAUCUGCUCAAGCUGCACCAAAAAGAUCUUUAGCCAAGAAGAAAAUUCAAAAGAAAUCUCCACAGAAAGGGCCCACAGCAGGUAAAAAAACUAUGAAAAUAGUUCCUGCAAAGAGUAAAGGUAUAAAACCAACUAAAAAAAGGCAGCCUCCCCCUCUAACAGCAAAGAAAAGGCUAAGUAAAUCCAAAAAGAGAGGAUCUAAACCUCUUAAGAAAGGUGUAAAUCAACUUAAACCCCUCAAAGGAAAAAAAAGACCAUCUUCAACAGCAGGCAAAACUGUAAAACCAAAAAAAGGGAAAUCUAUACUUGUCAAAAAGAAGUUGAAAUCAUCUAAACACAAAGGAUCUAAAUCUGUUCAAAAUCCACAGAAAAAGUGCCUACGUAACAAAGUAAAAAAACCAUUUCCAUUAAAUGUACCAUCUAAAGUUCAUCCCUGUCUACAACCAAAUCGACCACAUAAGUGUCCACUGACAGCUCAUCAAAUCUAUCCACCUCCACCAAGACCAUGGCCAGGUGUCCAACACCCCCAUAUACACCAGCAGCAGCAUCACCGACCUCAUUUGCCUCAUAAGCCACCCUGUCAUAAACCAAAACCUCCAAAAAGGCCAACAGGAACAGAAGACAGUACAACUGGUAGCCUGACCAAUGCAAUCACCACGACACCUGGAGCAGUCACUAAUUUAGCUUCCAUCACUAGCACCACGUCCAAUAGCAAAACAUCUCCAUCAGUUGCUCCAAGUAGUGUAUCUGACACUGCAACUGAGGGAUCAAAUGCAAGCACCAGAGCACCUGCAACUCUAUCUCCAACGGCUCACACCAUGGUCCAUGUGACGUCAUCUACUAACUCAGCAACAGAUGUUGCCUCCACCACAAUUGCCCCAGCAUCUGUGUUGACCUCAGUGGAAUCCACAUCCCAAGAGUCCACUGUUUCUAGGGCUGCAACCUCCAUGAACGCAGGGGCUACUUCCACCACUGCACCUGAUUUUACCACAGAGGUCUCAGAAGCUGAAGCGAACACAGAAGAAGAUGCCACUCUCUCAGCUACGGAGGAUUCCACCACUCAAGCUGCCUCUACAACUUCAGCAAACACACCUCCUGCUACUGUUGCCACCAUUGCUGCAGCCACAACCCCUACAUACGUUGCAGCCACAACUGUAAUACCUCCCACAACCCCAGGGAUUGGUGCCACUAACUCCAGUGCUACCUCAUUAUCAGCUGGUGCUACCACAGCUCUUGCUUCUGCUACUACGGGAAUACCCAGAACUUCUACCACUGCUUCUAGUUCUGUCACAACAACAGCUAUACCUGGUGCCACUACCACAAGUGCACUAAGUCCUACAACCACCGGUGUACCUGGUCCUGCCACCGGAGCUGCAUUGAGUCCUGCAUCGAGUCCUGCCAUCCCACCAGUGGCCGAGGCUACCACUGAAACAGCAGUUGACACAACCACUGAAGCUACUUCCCCAGUAAGCGAGGAAGUCACUGAAACAGCCGAUGACACAACAGUCAACACAGCUGCCACCACAAUUUCACCUAAUGGAUUAACGACUGGGGCAAUGGACUCGACAACCUUGGAAAGAGACAUCUCUCUCCCUGUUACUACAACUGCUGGAUCUUCAAACUCAACACCUGUGGGGACAACCACCACUACCACAGCAGCAGCUUCUUCAACCCUAGGGCUGGAUACGACCACCAGUGGUACAGUCACAUCCUCGGCCUCCAGUGAUACAACUGCUGCUACCAGCAUAACUGUAGUAGGCGCUACCACUCCAACCCCUGUGAUGGCAGCCUCCACUGUUGAACCAGUUGUGUUAACCAAUGCAGGUGAAACCACUACCCAGAGCUCUGAUGUUACAGCUCCAGGGGAAGAGGCCACCACUGAACCAAUAGAUGACACAACCACUGAAGCUGCCACAACUGCACCUGCUGAGGCCACAACUCUCACAGCUAACCCUGCAUCCUCAGCAGAUUUCACAUCUCCAGCUGUGGGUAAAACUGGUUCAGCUACAACCAAAAUAUCUGGAGGAGCUACCAACACAACCACAGCAGCCUCCAUAACUCCAGGGGUUGAUGCCACCACAAGCAGCACCACCUCUCCUUCCAUCACUGGUACCACAUCUCCUUCUGGUGCCACCACAACUGUACCAAGUUCUGCCUCUACUACUGAAUCUGGUGCACUGACCAACAGUGAAACCACCACCCAGACCCCUGGUGCUCCAGGUGAUGAGACCACUAAAUCAGCAGAUGGUACAACCACGGCAGCUAUCACCACUCCAGCAGAAGGUACCACAACCCGUUCAACUGACUCCACAACCUUAAAAGCAGGCACUACAUCUGUUGCUACUACUGCAACAGCUGCGUUAUCUGCAACCACAAUUCCUACAGCAGCUAGCACUGCAACAGCUGCAGCCUCCACAGGGACUGAAACUACACCUUUAGCCCCAGAUGCCACCACUACUGCCAGUAUGAGUGUAGCAGCCACCACCACCCCUGCUGAACCUGCUUCUUCAACCACUGAAGCUGCAACUCCUACGGAGGAAAACACUACUGAACCUUUAGGGACAGCGGCCACUACAACUCCAUCAAGCUCCACCUCCGCCACUGCACCAGAAGAUUUAAGCACUACACUGGAUUCUACAAUGCUGGAACCUGAAACAACGGCCCCCACUGAUGAGGCCACAGCAGAUACUACUCUCCCUGAAGGAAGUACUGAUGCUGCCACAACUCUUGCAGGAUCCACUGCACCUGCAGAAGAGAACUCUACUGCUCUAGCCAUCACAAGAGUAGCAGCAACGCCCAUAUCUGAAGCUAAUACCAUUACCACUGCCCCAGUGACAACCAGUAGGCUCACAACUACAGUCACCACAAAUACAGCAUCAACUGAAACCACCUCAUAAGAAAAGCAAUGCCAUGGUGCAUCUCAAGCAUCUUGAUAACAG
rnacentral:lncRNA from 1 species